rnacentral:rRNA from 1 species
GGAAUAUUGGACAAUGGGGGCAACCCUGAUCCAGCCAUGCCGCGUGUGUGAAGAAGGCUUUCGGGUUGUAAAGCACUUUAGUUGGGGAGGAAGGCGUAUGUGUGAAUAAUGCAGACGUUUGACGUUACCCAAAGAAUAAGCACCGGCUAACUCCGUGCCAGCAGCCGCGGUAAUACGGAGGGUGCAAGCGUUAAUCGGAAUUACUGGGCGUAAAGCGCACGUAGGCGGUUCAAUAAGUUAGAUGUGAAAUCCCCGGGCUUAACCUGGGAGCUGCAUUUAAAACUGUUGGGCUAGAGUUCGGUAGAGGGGGGUGGAAUUUCCGGUGUAGCGGUGAAAUGCGUAGAGAUCGGAAGGAACAUCAGUGGCGAAGGCGGCCCCCUGGACUAGGACUGACGCUGAGGUGCGAAAGCGUGGGGAGCAAAC